AGAUACCCGGGUAGUCCACGCCGUAAACGAUCAUCACUCGCUGUUGGCGAUAUACUGUCAGCGGCCAAGCGAAAGUAUUAAGUGAUGCACCUGGGGAGUACGCCGGCAACGGUGAAACUCAAAGGAAUUGACGGGGGCCCGCACAAGCGGUGGAGCAUGUGGUUUAAUUCGAUGAUACGCGAGGAACCUUACCAGGGCUUAAAUGUAGUAUGACCGGCUUGGAAACAGGCCUUCUCUUCGGAGCAGAUUACAAGGUGCUGCAUGGCCGCCGUCAG
rnacentral:rRNA from 1 species